GUGUUCACUUUGGUAGCACAGAUAUGAAAAUUGGAACAAUACAGAGAAGACUAUCACAGCCCUUGCACACAAAGAGGAUGCUCAAAUUCCUGAAGCAGUCCUUAUCUUU
ensembl:snRNA U6 U6 spliceosomal RNA